GACGAACGCCUGGCGGCAGGCUUAACACAUGCAAGUCGCACGAGAACGCCCGGGCUUUUGCCGGGGCAGUACAGUGGCGGACGGGUGCGUAUCGCGUAGAUAACCUACCCUCAGGCGCGGGACAAUCGCGGGAAACCGCGGCUAAUACCGCACGUCGUCUGGCUCCCGCAUGGGGGCCAGAUGAAAGCUCGGGUUUCCCCUAGCACCUUCCGACGGGUCUGCAUUGGAUUAGCUUGUUGGUGACGCAACGGCGCACCAAUGCAACGAUCGUCAGCUGGGCUGAUAGGACGAUCUGUCACUCUGAGACUGACACAACGCCCACACUCCGACGGGAUGCGGCAUCGGGGAAUCUUGCGUAACGCGGUCUCCCCUGAUGCCGCCUUGCCGAGUACACGAAUACACCCCUAUGGCGCGUUUUCUCCUUUUCUAAACCACUAUACCCCCGUGGGUUCACGGCGCUACAGGAAUUCACGACUACUCACCCGCUGCCUCCGUGCCCGCUACCACGGUAGUACCGAGGGUGCUCGCGUUGUCCUGAAUCUCUGGGUGUCACAGGUGCGCCAGCGGGGCAGCAAGUCGGAUGUGAAACCCCAUGGCUCAACCAUGGAGGUGCAUUCGAAACUGUUGCUCUUGAGUCCCGGAGAGGCUGCCGGAAUUCGUGGUGUAGCGGUGAAAUGCGUAGAUAUCACGAGGAACACCAGAGGCGAAAGCGGGCAACUGGACGGGUACUGACGCUCAGGCACGAAAGCGUGGGGAGCAAACAGGAUUAGAUACCCUGGUAGUCCACGCCGUAAACGAUGAACGUUCGCCGUUAUCCCGCUUAAGGGAUAGUGGCUAAGCUAACGCGUUAAGCGUUCCACCUGGGGAGUACGAUCGCAAGGUUGAAACUCAAAGGAAUUGACGGGGGCCCGCACAAGCGGUGGAGCAUGUGGCUCAAUUCGAUGCAACGCGAAGAACCUUACCUAGGCUCGAACGCUAGAGGACCGCUCCUGAAAGGGAGCUUCCCCUUUGGGGCCUGUAGCGAGGUACUGCAUGGCUGUCGUCAGCUCGUGUCGUGAGAUGUUGGGUUAAGUCCCGCAACGAGCGUAACCCUUGUCGUUAGUUACCAGCGGGUAGUGCCGGGGACUCUAGCGAGACCGCCUGCGCAAGCAGUGAGGAAGGUGGGGAUGACGUCAAGUCAUCAUGGUCCUUACGCCUAGGGCUGCACACGUGCUACAAUGGUCGGGACAACGAGCAGCCACCUCGCGAGAGGGAGCGAAUCUCUCAAACCCGAUCGUAGUUCGGAUUGGAGUCUGCAACUCGACUCCAUGAAGCAGGAAUCGCUAGUAAUCGCGGAUCAGCAAUGCCGCGGUGAAUCCGUUCCCGGGCCUUGUACACACCGCCCGUCAAGCCAUGGAAGCUGAGAGCACCCGAAGUCCGUGACUCAACUCCGGCCUCGCGCUGGAGAGAGAGCGGCCGAAGGUGAGCUCAGUGACUGGGGCU
rnacentral:rRNA from 1 species